rnacentral:rRNA from 1 species
UACGUAGGGUGCGAGCGUUUAAUCGGAAUUACUGGGCGUAAAGCGUGCGCAGGCGGUUCGUUAAGUCAGCUGUGAAAGCCCCGGGCUCAACCUGGGAACUGCGGUUGAAACUGGCGAACUAGAAUCUGGCAGAGGGGGGUGGAAUUCCACGUGUAGCAGUGAAAUGCGUAGAGAUGUGGAGGAACACCGAUGGCGAAGGCAGCCCCCUGGGCUAAGAUUGACGCUCAGGCACGAAAGCGUGGGGAGCAAACAGG